GUGCGCACACUUGUAAACCCUCAGCCUGACUUAUCUGUGCAUGGCAAAGUUUUUCAACAGACGGACGGACAACCAACUGAUGAUAAUACCCUGCUGCCAGUGCGGCCGAGGGUAAAAA